rfam:Chlorocebus sabaeus isolate 1994-021 chromosome 5, whole genome shotgun sequence.
GCCAGGCAUGGUGGCUCAUGCCUAUAAUCCCAGCACUUUGGGAGGCUGAGGUGGGAGGAUCACUUGAGCCCAGGAGUUUGAGGCCAGCCUGGGCAACAUAGUGAGAUCCCACUUCUA